rnacentral:misc_RNA from 1 species
GACGAGUCGCCCGACUCUCAAGCCCAGGACCUUUUAUUCUCGUCGUCGUCCAUCCCUUUCGAUGGCGGGACUGGUGUAACCUCUUCGACGCGUGCCUGCGCGACCCGUGCUCCGAGGACCCCUACGCCGGCACCUGCAUGCAGAACUUGGUGAUGUACUUCCACAAC